rnacentral:piRNA from 1 species
UCCAGAGCCAGAUGUGGAUUUUGAUG